rnacentral:tRNA from 1 species
GCCCUCAUAGCUCACUGGUAGAGCACUUCCUUGGUAAGGAAGAGGUUCCGGGUUCAAUCCCCGGUGAGGGCU